GACGAACGCUGGCGGCGCGCUUAACACAUGCAAGUCGAACGGAAGGGGCCUGCUUUUGUGGGGUGCUCGAGUGGCGGACGGGUGAGUAACACGUGAGUAACCUGCCCUUCACUUUGGGAUAACUUCAGGAAACUGGGGCUAAUACCGGAUAGGAGCUCCUGCUGCAUGGUGGGGGUUGGAAAGUUUCGGCGGUUGGGGAUGGACGCGCGGCUUGUCGGCUUGCUGGUGGGGUAGUCGCUUACCAAGGCCUUGACGGGUAACCGGCCUGAGGGGGUUACCGGCCAGACAGGGACUGAGAGACGCACCAGACUGCUACGUGAGGCAGCAGGGGGGAAUAUUGCACAAUGGGCGGAAGCCUGAUGCAUCAACGCCGCGUGCGGGAUGACGGCCGGCGGGUUGUAAACCGCUUUCGCCUGUGACGAAGCGUGAGUGACGGUAAUGGGUAAAGAAGCACCGGCUAACUACGUG
rnacentral:rRNA from 1 species